rnacentral:rRNA from 1 species
UCAGAACGAACGCUGGCGGCGCGCUUAAUACAUGCAAGUCGUGCGAGAAAGUCCUUCGGGGAUGAGUAGAGCGGCGAAUGGGUGAGUAACACGUAAGCAACCUGCCUUUAAGUCUGGGAUAACCCUGCCAACGCGGGGCUAAUACCGGGUGUGGUCCUGGCAUCGCAUGGUGUCGGGAUUAAAGGUGACCUCUACUUGUAAGUUACCGCUUAAAGAGGGGCUUGCGGACCAUUAGCUUGUUGGUGAGGUAACGGCUCACCAAGGCUACGAUGGUUAGCCGACCUAAGAGGGUGAUCGGCCACAUUGGGACUGAGAUACGGCCCAGACUCCUACGGGAGGCAGCAGUAGGGAAUUUUGCGCAAUGGACGAAAGUCUGACGCAGCGACGCCGCGUGAGCGAUGAAGGCCUUCGGGUUGUAAAGCUCUGUUGAGUGGGAAGAAAACUUCCGGUGCGAAUAGUAUCGGGACUUGACGGUACCACUCGAGGAAGCCCCGGCUAACUACGUGCCAGCAGCCGCGGUAAUACGUAGGGGGCUAGCGUUGUUCGGAAUUACUGGGCGUAAAGGGAGUGUAGGCGGGGAGGUAAGUUAGGAGUUCAAUUCACGGGCUUAACCCGCGGCUAGCUCUUAAUACUGCUUCUCUUGAGUAUGGGAGAGGGCGAUGGAAUUCCAGGUGUAGCGGUGGAAUGCGUAGAUAUCUGGAAGAACACCAGUUGCGAAGGCGGUCGCCUGGCCCAAUACUGACGCUGAGGCUCGAAAGCUAGGGGAGCGAACAGGAUUAGAUACCCUGGUAGUCCUAGCCGUAAACGAUGGAUACUAGUUGCUGGAAGAGUCAAUCCUUUCAGUGACGAAGUUAACGCAUUAAGUAUCCCGCCUGGGGAGUACGCUCGCAAGGGUGAAACUCAAAGGAAUUGACGGGGGCCCGCACAAGCGGUGGAGCAUGUGCUUUAAUUCGAUGCAACGCGAAGAACCUUACCUGGGUUUGACAUGGGAGUGAAAACCGCCAGAGAUGGUGGUCCUUCCGCAAGGAACACUCUACACAGGUGCUGCAUGGUUGUCGUCAGCUCGUGUCGUGAGAUGUUGGGUUAAGUCCCGCAACGAGCGCAACCCUUGUCCUUAGUUGCCAUCAGGUAAAGCUGGGAACUCUAAGGAGACUGC